GACGAACGCUGGCGGCGUGCUUAACACAUGCAAGUCGAACGGAAAGGCCCUGCUUUUGUGGGGUGCUCGAGUGGCGAACGGGUGAGUAACACGUGAGUAACCUGCCCUUGACUUUGGGAUAACUUCAGGAAACUGGGGCUAAUACCGGAUAGGAGCUCCUGCUGCAUGGUGGGGGGUGGAAAGUUUCGGCGGUUGGGGAUGGACUCGCGGCUUAUCAGCUUGUUGGUGGGGUAGUGGCUUACCAAGGCUUUGACGGGUAGCCGGCCUGAGAGGGUGACCGGCCACAUUGGGACUGAGAUACGGCCCAGACUCCUACGGGAGGCAGAGGUGGGGAAUAUUGCACAAUGGGCGGAAGCCUGAUGCAGCAACGCCGCGUGCGGGAUGACGGCCUUCGGGUUGUAAACCGCUUUCGCCUGUGACGAAGCGUGAGUGACGGUAAUGGGUAAAGAAGCACCGGCUAACUACGUG
rnacentral:rRNA from 1 species